UUGGCUCGUGAUCGAAAAGGGGAGACCAGAGACGGAGGCGACGCAACGGCGGCGACGGCGGCGGGGAAAGGCGACGGCGGUGGGGAAAGAGCGCACAAAUCACAACGGCGGCGACGAGGUACUCCUCCGGCGACUGGUCCCCGCAUUCAGCUGUUGUGAAGUUGAAGGACUUGAGAGACAACUGCAAGACAGACCUGAAUAUUUGAUCAUCAAUUCUUUGUUGGGAAAACAAGCCCUGCAUGGUUGUGCUGUUGAACUUGUCGCCCUGAGAUGUAGUAUGAUAAGCUGGAUCUGUUUGAAUUAAGAUGAUGUAUGGUGUCUGGUUUCCACUAGGAAGUUAUGGGCUUGUCAGUUAAGAAGUUUUGGCCGUAGUGCUUACUCCUAUCUAGAAUAGGGAGGUCAAGGCCCUCCCUAGCCCCAAUACAAUGCUCAUAUAUAAAUCAAUUGUAGUACUCCUUUAAUUUCCAGCUGAAGUGCAGAAUGAAGGAGCUCCUAACUUUUA